UACGUAGGGGGCAAGCGUUGUCCGGAUUUAUUGGGCGUAAAGAGCGUGUAGGCGGCCAGACAGGUCCGUUGUGAAAACUCGAGGCUCAACCUCGAGAUGUCGAUGGAAACAGUCUGGCUAGAGUCCGGAAGAGGAGUGUGGAAUUCCUGGUGUAGCGGUGAAAUGCGUAGAUAUCGAGAGGAACACCUGCGGCGAAGGCGGGUUGCUGGGCCGACACUGACGCUGAUGCGCGAAAGCCAGGGGAGCGAACGGG
rnacentral:rRNA from 1 species